rnacentral:siRNA from 1 species
GCAGCUACAUAAAUUCUCAAGUGC